ACUCUUUGGUAAGCCAUGGCGUGGUAUUUGAGCCGCGAUACGCACUAUGGCACGCCACUUUCGCACAGCGCCUUCUCGACGGAAGAUCCGUGGGCUUUGCUGAAAGUCACAGUGAUCAGCUGUUGUCAGCGUCUUCUCAGCAGGAUGCUGCCCUGCAAGCUUUGGGCGUUGGUGCCCCUUGCCCUGCUGGUCGUGAUCGGCGGGCCACCCUCUGCUAACAGCCAAGUUCAACCAGGAUCGGGAUCAGUCGUGAACGCGAUUGGGGGCAUUUUGGACCCGGUUGUGAGUGUCCUAAACCCAGUGGUGGAGGUGGUUGCUGGAUUGGCUCCCAUCCCCGGCGCCCUGCUCGGUACCGUGGCGCCCUACACGGCGUUGCUCAACCCGCUGCUUCAGUCCGCGCUGCUGCAGAAUAACAUCACGCAGUUCUCCUCGGACAUCGUGACAAACCUCUCGGCCUUGGUGGCCCUUGUGGCCAACGCUGCGCUGCCUGUGCCUCCAUACCUCCGGCCGGACCAGGAAGCGCCGAAAUUCGGCUUCGUCGGAGAGGCUUACAACGUGACGACUUCGGACGGCUACAUCCUUGGAGUGUUCCGAGUUCGAAAAGGAACGUGCGCCUCGUAUCGUUCUGUUGUUGUUAUUCCGCCAGGGAUCCUUUCCAAUGCGGCUUCCUUCAUCUACAUCAAGGAAAACAGCCUGGUGUACCGUCUUGCGCGAGAAUGCAACGACGUGUGGCUGUUCACUUUCCGAGGUUACAUUUUUGGACGUGGACACACAAGUCUCAGCGACACAAGCUCUGAAUUCUGGGACUUCUACGCGUACCACUGGGGCGUCUACGACCUGCCGGCCCAGAUAGAGUUCGUCUACAGGAAGACGAACAGCACCACAAUGCGCUACUUCGGCGUGGACCAGUCCGGCACCGCCCUGCUCUUCAUGAACCACGUGCACGGCCAGCGAUACCAGAGGUUCCUGGCAGGCACCUACCUGCUCGCUCCCAUCGGCUACCUCGGACGUCUUAAGUCCGCGGUUUUCGACGCAAUGUCCGUUGUUCGCGACGGCCUCACGGCUGCCGGAGCACUGACUCUCCACAACGAACUCGCCUUCAUGAACCCAGCCAUACACUCGGUGCUGUACAACUUGUGUGGUCGCAUCUCCCCCAUCACGUGCUACUACGUUUUCCAGAUCCUCGGAGGGAACACCAGGGAGAUAAAUUACCCGUACUUCCCUUAUGCUUUUGCGAACUUACUGGACAGCACGUCGAUAACUGGUUUCAACUAUUUCCUUCAACAAGUUGGCAGAAUUAAGUACAUGAAGUAUUACGACUACGGCCCGGCUGAGAACUUGAGGCGAUACAACCGAACCACCCCUGAAGACGUGAACAUAGCUGCAACCACUGUGCCAUGCAACUUCUACGCCCUCGGCAGCGACAGUGUCACCGUGCCACAGGACGUCCUCGACACCUGGAACGCCCUGGCCCCGUCUGCCCGCGCGUCCUACCAGGUCCUCGAGAAGUACAACGGCGUCAGUCCUUUCGUGCCGGUCGACUCGGAGGGCCUCUACGGUCCAAUGAUCCGCAAGUUGAACGCCGACCUGGCGCGGGGCGCAUAAUGAGGACGCUUCCACUACCCCUUCAGUUGUGAUCGGGACGUGCUGCUAUUCGCUGUGCCCUCAUCAUUGAAGUAAAAAGAUCUAGUCUCAGGCCGCUGGCGCUGGUUUUCAUGUUUCCUGAUGACAUGCUGAAGGCCUAGCCCCACAGACAGACAUAGCCUCUUGGUGCUGAUAGGACAGAUCGAUUUUACUCUACUUUCAAGUUUGUGAGUAUGUUGUGACUGUGAGCAUAAAGAUUUCUUUGGGCGACACACUGGGCACAACUUCAAAAUGCUUGAAUUGCUUGAAUUGCAAUGCUUUGAAUUGAAUUCAAAAUGCUUGACAUGGUGCAAAUGAUGAAACUGAUCCGUUUGAAAUAAAGUUUGUCAACACAAACACA